rnacentral:rRNA from 1 species
UACGUAGGGUGCAAGCGUUAAUCGGAAUUACUGGGCGUAAAGCGUGCGCAGGCGGUGAUAUAAGACAGGUGUGAAAUCCCCGGGCUUAACCUGGGAACUGCAUUUGUGACUGCAUUGCUGGAGUGCGGCAGAGGGGGAUGGAAUUCCGCGUGUAGCAGUGAAAUGCGUAGAUAUGCGGAGGAACACCGAUGGCGAAGGCAAUCCCCUGGGCCUGCACUGACGCUCAUGCACGAAAGCGUGGGGAGCAAACAGG